rnacentral:rRNA from 1 species
GAUGAACGCUGGCGGCGUGCUUAACACAUGCAAGUCGAACGAUGAAGCCCAGCUUGCUGGGUGGAUUAGUGGCGAACGGGUGAGUAACACGUGAGUAACCUGCCCUUGACUCUGGGAUAAGCCUGGGAAACUGGGUCUAAUACUGGAUAUGACUUCUCAUCGCAUGGUGGGGGGUGGAAAGAUUUAUUGGUCUUGGAUGGACUCGCGGCCUAUCAGCUUGUUGGUGAGGUAAUGGCUCGCCAAGGCGACGACGGGUAGCCGGCCUGAGAGGGUGACCGGCCACACUGGGACUGAGACACGGCCCAGACUCCUACGGGAGGCAGCAGUGGGGAAUAUUGCACAAUGGGCGCAAGCCUGAUGCAGCGACGCCGCGUGAGGGAUGACGGCCUUCGGGUUGUAAACCUCUUUCAGUAGGGAAGAAGCGAGAGUGACGGUACCUGCAGAAGAAGCGCCGGCUAACUACGUG